AAAACCCCUCUCUUUUCACCUCAAGUGCCGGCUGAACACUCUUUCUUUUCCCUCUCAAACAGCCGGCCAUUAACAAGAAAGAAGAAGACCAAUUUCUUCAUCAUUUCACCUCUCAAACUUGCACCAAAUCACUUGAAAUUUCUACCACAAACUCACAACAACUUGGAGAUUCAUCUAGGCAAGGAGAGGAGCUUCAUUUCCACGGUUUUCUUGGGGCUCAAAGUGACAAAAAAUUUCUGAUCUAGUCAUCCAAGAAGGUAGCAAAUCAUCCAACCCAUAGAUCUUAGUUUUUGUAAGAUAAAUUGCACAUAUAAGGUUAUAUAAUCAUGUGGGUAGUCUUGUUUAUGGUAUAAAAUGAAAUGGGUGGGCUCUAUGAACUCCCACCUUUGUCUUGAGGGCUGAUCUCAUGCUUGAUGAUGAAAUUAAUGGUGGUUUAGUGCUUAAAUUAGUGGAUUAAUGUUGUAUUGUUGGUAGAAAAUCAUAAGAGGUGCUUGGAGCAAAAGUGACCAUUUUAUCCCUGCCUUGUCUGACCAUUUUUGUGCAAACUUUUGAGAUUCUAAUGACUUGAUUAUGUUGUUUACAUGUUAUUGUGAGUGUGUACAAAAUGUCAUUGAAAAAUAACAUGAUUUGGUUGGUCAAAUGAGUUGAUUUCCAAAAUUAGCAAAACUGGAAAAUGAAUCCCGUAUUGCCCAGGCAGCCAUUUUGUAUCGGCCAUAACUCUUUGCUCCGAUGUCAAAAUCAAGUGCCGUUUGCGGCACUGGAAACUAGACAUUCCCAGAUUUCUAUUGGUACCAAUUUUACGUUCUGGUUCCACUUGAGGGAGCCACGCCAUUCGAUUGAAAAUCACUGUCCUGUUUCGUUUCUAUCCAGGAGACAGGACAGGACUUGUAUCUUGAUGCUCAAAAACGAGCUGUUUGUGAAUGGAAUUCGAAAAUGGUUUCUUCUGAGAAAAUUCAAAUUUAUGAUAGAGAUUUCCAACGCCAUCAACCACGCUCAAUUCCAAUUUGAAUUGAGUGAGUUGUGGCCAUAUUUCGAAACUGAUGCAGUGAGUAAAAAUCCUCUUUUGACUAGUUAAAUGGCCUAGCUUGAUUUGGGACUUGUUGAUUUCGGAUUUAGAAACUUUGAUGUCCAACAUCUGCCAAACUUUAUAUUAGAUGUUCCUUGGACUUUGUUUUACAAAUAAACCAGAUUUGGGUUGGUUGCAUUGGACAAAAUGUUUAAAAAGAAAGGAGAGCUAGAAGACAGUUUUGCCUUGGGAAAUUUCUUGAACUUUGAUGGUUUAGUUAACUACCUUUCCGUGUGAAAUUUCAAUUGAAAUUUGAUAGAGGAGUGGUCCUCAUAUGGAGGUUUAAUUGUGCAAAAUUUGGUGAUAUUCUAAGACCAUUUUGAUAUGCAAAUGAUGCCCCAAAAUUGCUCUUCGAAUCUGGAAAACUUUUCCUUUUCUCUUAGCCAAUUAGCCAAUCUUGACUUGGGACUUGUUAUUCGAAAUUCUGGGUAUAAAUCACCUACCAAAUGCAGCUUGGAUGUUUCUUAGACAUUAUCUACGCAAAUGAACCAUAUUUGAGAGGUUUUUAGUGGCCAAAUGUUUGAGAAAAGGAAAACAAAGGUACGAGGCAGAUUGCCUUGGAAAUUCUUGAAAACUUCAACAGUUUUGUUAAUUGACUCUUCGUGCUAGAUUUUGCGUGAAAAUUUGCAGAGGAAUAGCCCCUAUAUGGUAGUGUAAUACUACUAAAUUUGGUGCCAUUCCAAGUCUGUUUCAAUGUUCAACCAACGUCCCAAAGUCAUUGAUUUAAAUCUGGAAAAUAGGCCAACGGUCUCAUUUUCAGCAACUUUGAGCUGCCAUAUCUUGGUGCUCGAAACUCCGUUUCUUGUUAUGCUUGUUUUGUUAUACUCUUGGAUUGCAACACUAAUUUAUUUCCAAAUUUCAAAGGUUAGUUCAAAACAAGUGAAUUUUGCCGAAUUUCCAAAGUUGGCCAAAAACCAACUUAAAUCUGUCUUGGUAAUUCAAGUUACCAACUUUGAGCCAAUUUUUGAAUGUCUUCCACUUGGAUUCAUUGAAAAGUGUCUUCUAAGAACUUUUAGUACUUUCAAAGAAAUUUCCAAUGGUACCAAGUUUUCCAAUUUUGGACUUUCAGAGAAUGAGUUAUGAUUUUUCCAACAAUGUCCCUAAAUCCGAUAAUUCUUAGCUUUUUGAAAAUAUUUGCGCGGGAAACAUUUUCAUAGAAAUCCGACCGGAUAUCCGGCCAGUUCUUGGCCGGAUGGUGACGUGUCGCAUCUUCAUCCGACUUCGGUCAUUCGUUUGAAAAAUGAUUUUUUUGAUUUCAUACCUACUUGCUUCCUUCCAAUGAUUUUGGGGAUAAAAAUCGGAUUAUUCUUGAGUUUUUUAACUCCACUCUUGGGCCUUGAUUUUUCGAGGAAAUUUAGGCUCAUCAUUGCGAUAUUUUCUAGAUUGUACUGGUGUGUGACCCUUCGUGAUAAUUGGAGAUUUUAAACGAUAGUGUGUAAUAGACAACGAUUGUUUGCUCAGGCACUCGAGGGGACCUUCAAGAGGAUCUCGGAGCGGACACCUAAAACGCUUGUUUGAGAACUACUCGCUUGUUUUGAUUAGGUGAGUGUUCCAUAUAGGAAUACGUAUUUGAAUAAGUUUAGGACAUGUUUAUUUCAUGAUUAUUAAGUGCUAAGUACUAUGUGUUAAGUAUUUACCAUACUCAUGCCUAUUUAAGGAAUGUAUACUUGCAUUACAUAUCUACAUGAAUUGGUUAAAUGAUUAACCAUAUCAAAUGACCAUAUGAACUCGAUACAUGCUUAACUUGCUGGAUUGCUUGCUUAGCCUACUCGAUUUUUUGAAAAAUGGAGUCGAGUGUGUACUUUAUCGCACUCGUUCUCUUUUGAGAUGAAUAACUCAUGCUUGGAAAUACUCGAAUAACAUGACUUGGUAUGCUAAGGUUGCAUACGUCAUUGGAGUGAAUCUCCUCGACUCUCACAUGGUAAAAAUGGGAUAAUGGCUAAUGAUGGCCUAUUAAUAUGACGAAUGCCUGUCAAUUAACCGUCACUACUCAACCGUUAACCGUCAACCGUCAACCGUUAACCGUUAACCGUUAACCGUGAACCUUUGCCAACCCACAUGACUACCUGAUUACUUGACUAUUUGCUCACAUGAUUUUCAAUCUGCAUGACUAUUUGAUAUCCGUGAAUUACAUGCUCCCAUGAAAUCAACUUGUAUUGCUUGCGUGCUUACGUGCUAAGUAUCCACUUGAUUACUUGAUUAUCAUGAAUCACAUGUUAUAUGAUGCUGUCCAUCAUUGUUAGGCAAGUGUGUAAUUUACCUCACUCGACCUAUUCAAAUGAUGAAUUUUACCUUUUGUCGAAUUACUUGGUUACCUGUGCAUGUUGUAAGCUCUAAGCUGAACUUGGGCCCUGCCCUUGGUUACUGACCUACUCGAGCCAGGACUGGGCUCGGUCGGGUAGGUUGGAAUCCUGGACCACCGUUUCGGUAUACUUGAGUAUUACCACUGGAGGGAUAAGGUGAUGGCCAGUCAAACCGAGGGGAUCCGAAAGUCAUAAGGUGCAGAUGACCGACAGAGUUCCACUAGAACACCGUAUCCUUCAAUAUGUGUUAUUUCUGCAUAAUGAUAAUUAUUUCAUGCUAACAUGCCAUGUGUAACCAUGAACCAUACAUAUGAUAUGCUCAACUUACUUGAUUUAUUUGAACUACUAGAGUGUCUUGGAAUCUCACUGGGCUGUGUAGCUCAUACCACGUUGUGAUUUUCUUUUACAGGGUUCGAGACCAAGGGUGCUCGUGAGUAGUACUAGAUUGUUUUCUUUGAAGACUUUAAGUUAUAUUAUAACGGAUGGCUAUUGUACCAUUUUUCGUUGGGUUGUAUUUAAGUUUGAAAGCUGUAUAAUUGUAAGUGUGAGAUAUUUGAA
rnacentral:lncRNA from 1 species